UACAGGGGGGGCAAGCGUUGUUCGGAAUUACUGGGCGUAAAGGGCCAGUAGGCGGCCAACUAAGUCCGACGUGAAAUCCCCAAGCUUAACUUGGGAACUGCGUCGGAUACUGGAUGGCUUGAAUUCGGGAGAGGGAUGCAGAAUUCCAGGUGUAGCGGUGAAAUGCGUAGAUAUCUGGAGGAACACCGGUGGCGAAGGCGGUUCUCUGGGCCUUACCUGACGCUGAGGAGCGAAAGCGUGGGGAGCGAACAGG
rnacentral:rRNA from 1 species